CUCCCCCAAGCAAGGAACCCCCUUAUCCGGUUUUGACCAAACCGUUCGCCGCCGGGUCAGUUCGUCCGCCCAUCAACAUGGGACCCGAGCCUCCUCUCCUGCCAAUUCCUUCCUAGCCAGCCAGCACGCGGCCACAAAGCUUUACCUAGGCAGCGGUCCAUACGGGUGGACGAAUCCAUACGUUUUUCAACGGUUUGUUUAGCACCCGGUCUCCCUCCUCCGCCUCUGCUUCCGUCGUCUCCCGCCGCCACCAACGGUGUCUGAUUGGUCGUUGGUCGCAUAAUUCGCUGGUAUAUAUUCGCGGCCAUGUCGCGGAUCAUUGCGUCUGAAUUCCUGGAAGGGAAAGCGAGGUAGCCGUGAAUUGGGUACGCAGCAGCUCGGGUUUCAGCUCGGGCUCGUCCGGUGGUGAUGGAGAAGGGAGGAAGAGGGCUGUCCUGCCGGGCCGCGGUCUGCGGCAUCGUCGUCCUGCUCUGCGCCACCGCCUUCUCCUGCUCCCUCGCCGCCGAGUUCCGCAGAGUCAAGGUCAGGCUCCUGCUCCUGCUCUCUUUGUUGCGCUCGUCGUGUUGCAAUUGGCGAGAGGCUCCGGUUCCCGGAUCGGAUCUGAAUCGCCUGCCUGUCGGUUGCUCGAUCAGGACGAGGACAUGAAGCUGGACGGCAGCCUCUGCUCCCUGCCCAAGAGCUCCGCCUUCGAAUUGGGCGUCGCGGCCAUCGCCUUCCUCUCCGUCGCGCAGCUCGUCGGCACCACCGCGGCGGCGACCACCAUGUGCGCCUCCAGCUCCAAGCCCAGCAAGUCCGUCGCCACCAGAGGCCGCGUCGCGCCCGUCGCACUGCUGGCCCUCUCAUGGGUGUGCUUCGCUCUGGCCGUUAUCCUGCUGGCGACGGCGGCGAGCAUGAACAGCGGGCAGCGCUACGGCCGGGGGUGGAUGGACGGCGACUGCUACAUCGCUAGGAACGGCGUGUUCGGCGGCGCCGCCGCGCUGGUCGUCAUCACGGCGCUCCUCAUCCUCGGCCUCACCUUCGCCACCAAAACCGCGGGGGGUGGCUCGAGCACGACGGCGUGCGCAAGAGGAGACGCCGCCCGCACAACUACCAUCCGUGUCGACGCGGCAACAGGCGCGGGCGCGGAACAGCCGGGCAGGCGAUCCAAGCAAUGAUCGGUGCUGGCAUCGGCAGAUCGAUCGGACACGAGGGCGGGGCGGGCCAACCGGUGGAGAGGUCGAUGGCACGCUUCGCUGUUCGUCCCGCAAAGGCCAAGCCGAGUGGGGCAUCUUCCUCUCCUUUUGGUCUCGGGUGGGGGCAUCUUGGUAGGCUGGCAAAGCUGAGAAAGGCGAUCUCGGGAGUACUGCCGGUGGGUUGGAUGGGAGGGACACAGUACAUAAUUACUGACACGUUUACUGACGUCGCCGUGCAAAUUGUAAAUGACAUUACCGAACUGGUAAGAAGGAAAGAUCCUCAAGGAUCGUACAGAACAGAACAGAAAUUACUCGGGUUUGUGCUCUGCUGCCAUUUUGAGCACUAACAUCGAUUGGCGGCUAGUGAGCAUCUCCAGCCGAUCCAUAAAUAGUGAGGUAAUAGCACCCAGGUACCCUAACUUGCAUAGAAUAUGAUGAUUUAGUCCCAAACUUGCAAAACAUCACUCUACCAUACCCCAACUUGCACCUCAUGUGAUGAUUUAGUCCCAGACCAAUCACGCCAAUUGGCAGCCAGGUGGCUGGACCGGUCAGCGCACGCACUUUUGCAGAAUCCCC
rnacentral:rRNA from 1 species